rnacentral:lncRNA from 1 species
CCCCGACGCACAGCCCAAUGGCACUGGCGACUGAUGGACUCCUCUUGAAUAUGAUCAACGUCGCUAUGCAGAGGCCAAGCCCCCGUGCAGCCAGCGCUGCAGAUGGGAGCACCAGCUGGUGAUGGUUCAAGGAGCCCAGUGGCGUGCGUACACUGUGAUUGGUUGGCCUACUAACAGCCAGGCCGCAACCACGGUCACGAAACCCAGCAAGGUUCGCGAAGAAAGGCUUUAGUUUUAAAUAAAUGAAAGGGUCCCUGAAA